GCAUCGCGGCGUCCGUAGGCGUUUGCGUCCCAGCGUGAUGACGCCGCGGCCAGGAAUGGAGUUCUGGAAACGAGAAAGGAGAGCGGUUCCAGCUUUCAAAAUGGCGAAGAUCACGUGGCAAAGAAUGCAGAUGGUCUGUGUUUGCUGAAGCAGCCCCUAGCUGAUGGCUGGCAAAGAAAUAUCAAUAGAAACCACUGUCUUAGAACUAAAGAAAACUGAAUUCUGCUACAACCAUAUGUGCCUAGAAGAAGACCCCAAGCCCAAGAUGAAGACACAGUUUGGCUGACAUCCUCAUUUCACCACUGUGAGAAUCUUAAGAGAGCCCAGGUACUAGUGCUUAGACUUCUGACUGACAUACCUGUGAAAUAAUGCCUAACCUUAAAGAAGCCAAAUUCAGUUCCUAUCUCAGGAGACUGUAAAUUACACAAGCCAGCCCAGAAAGCAUCCUGCAACAUGAGACUUCCUCAUUCUACCCCAAAAGGGCUACAGCUGGCAGUGCCCUAUGACAACAGAGAUGAGCUCAACAAGAUUUAAUGCAAAAACUGCAGCAACCCAAGGAUCCACGAGCUAUGCUACAGGGGUCUGCAAGAUAAGAGGCCAAUCUGUCAAUACGAGGACCUGAUUUCUUAAUAUGCAGUACAGGAGCAGGGCAGGAGAAUGAAAACUGAGGGGGAAAGAAACAUUUAAAACCUUGGGUUCAAGGUUUACAAUCUGCAGCAUGGACUAGGGACUGGUUAGAGAAGGAGGCUCCACAGCAAGGCACUCUGGGUCAAACACAAACCCCAGCACUUAGCAACUGCCUGCCCUUGGGGAAGUCACUCAGCUGCUCUGAGCUUUCAGUUCCUCAUCUGUGAAAACAUGGAUGGAAUAGUUUUAAAUCAGCACCUAUCUCAAAUGGGUUGUAUAAGAACUAAAUACAGCAAUUCACAUAUAAUAGGCUCCAUACAGUGUUUGGCACCCACAGUAAGUACAGAAAGUCCUAUUACUUUCAUUGUUUUACUCAUGGUAAACCCUUUCACAGUGAGAAGAAUCACUAUCUGAAGCAUGGAACUCCAUCAGCCCAAGGGAUCAGGUGGGGUCUCAGCAAUGCAUGAUCCCACAGGU